CCCCUAUGUUGCCUCUCUUCUACCUUCUCUUAUGACAAGAAACCCUAACAGUCUCCACAACCCUAACCGUCACCACCAGCGAAGAGGUGAGGACAAGGACAAUGAUAAGCCAUCGAUUUCUGAUUCAUCUCUCUCCUUCAUUCCUUAGUUGUUAUAGGCAUUUACCUCGUAAGUUUUUCCAAUCUUUUUUCUAUUUGACUUGAUUCUCACAUCAUCUCAACCAAUCUUUUUUUUUCAUCUCUCUCCUUCCUGUUUUGAUUCAAAUUUUUGGUUAUAGGAGUUUUACUCUGAUUUUUUAUUAUAGAAAUUUUACUGGUUCACAGGAUCAAAUUUUGAUAUUUUACAACAACCUAAUUUUUUUUCAGGUUACUGCCAUCGAAUUCACAUACA
rnacentral:lncRNA from 1 species